UGCCUUCCGUCUCGCCCACCUCGAAGGAGAAGGUGGGAGGAGGGGGGUGGGUAAGCCGCCUUUUCGUUUCCGACCUCAGAUCGGACGAGAUUACCCGCUGAAUUUAAGCAUAUCACUAAGCGGAGGAAAAGAAACU
rnacentral:rRNA from 1 species